rnacentral:rRNA from 1 species
CGGGUAGUUGGUGGAUGCCUUGGCGCUAGGAGCCGAUGAAGGACGUGAUGGUCUGCGAAAAGCCUCGGGGAGUUGACGAAUAAGCGUUGAUCCGGGGAUGUCCGAAUUGGGAAACCAGAUUGGGGUAAUACCCAGUCAUUCCGGUCUGAACACAUAGGGCCGGUAAAGGAAACCGAGGGAAUUGAAACAUCUCAGUACCUCGAGGAAUGGAAAACAACAGUGAUUCCCUGAGUAGCGGCGAGCGAAACGGGAAGAGCCCAAACCAGUGCGGUGUUAAAGGUCGACGCCGUUGCCGUGCUGGGGUAGUGGGACUCAUUAGAUGGGCCGUCGAUCCCAUCAGAGAGUUACAAACUCGUUAGAUAACCGAAUUCGACUGGAAAGUCGAGCCACAGGAGGUAACAGCCCCGUAGGUGAAAUCUACACGAGCUCUCAAUGAUGUUCCCAAGUAGCACGGGGCACGUGAAAUCCCGUGUGAAUCUGCCAGGACCACCUGGUAAGGCUAAAUACUACCUAGCGACCGAUAGCGGAUAGUACCGUGAGGGAACGGUGAAAAGUACCCCGGUGAGGGGAGUGAAACAGUACCUGAAACCAAUUACUUACAAGCAGUAGGAGGGGCCGCCUUGUGCGGCCUUGACUGCCUGCCUUUUGAAGAAUGAGCCUACGAGUUAUCGAUGUGUGGCAAGGUUAAGCCGAGAGGUGUAGCCGCAGCGAAAGCAAGUCUUAAUAGGGCGCCUAGUCGCACGUCAUAGACCCGAAGCCGAGUGAUCUAUCCAUGGACAGGGUGAAGCGAGGGUAAGACCUCGUGGAGGCCCGAACCCACCUAGGUUAAAAACUGGGGGGAUGAUCUGUGGAUAGGGGUGAAAGGCCAAUCAAACUCGGCGAUAGCUGGUUCUCCUCGAAAUAGCUUUAGGGCUAGCGUUGCGUGUUCCUCUUUGGGGGUAGAGCACUGAUUGGGUUAGGGGGCCAACAAGCUUACCGACCCCAGUCAAACUCCGAAUCCCAGAGAGCCAAGCGCAGCAGUCAGACCAUGUGGGAUAAGCUUCAUGGUCGAAAGGGAAACAGCCCAGACCGCCAGUUAAGGUCCCAAAAUCAAUACUAAGUGGGGAACGAUGUAGGGUUGCCCAAACAGCCAGGAGGUUGGCUUAGAAGCAGCCACCCUUUAAAGAGUGCGUAACAGCUCACUGGUCGAGUGAUCCCGCGCGGAUGAUGUAACGGGGCUCAAGUGUUGUACCGAAACUGCGGAUUUGCGUCAUAACCCAGGCCUUCGUGGUCCAGGGGGCGUGAAUGGUAGAGGAGCGUCGAAUGUCCAUCGAAGCGGCGGCGUAAGCCAGUCGUGGAGGGCAUUCGAGUGAGAAUGUAGGCAUGAGUAGCGAAUGAAGAGUGAGAAUCUCUUCCGCCGAAUGUUCAAGGUUUCCUGGGGAAGGCUCGUCCGCCCAGGGUUAGUCGGGACCUAAGGUGAGGCCGAAAGGCGUAAUCGAUGGAUAACAGGUUGAUAUUCCUGUACUACCCACGACGCGAUCAGACCGAAUCACGUUUGCUAAGGAAAGCCCUUCGGGGCCUACCGACCCAGCGUGUACUAGGUGAGCAAUGGAGUGACACGGAAGGGCAAGUGGACCCGGGCGAUGGUAGACCCGGGGUAAGUGCGUAGAUCGAGAACCAGGUAAAUCCGGCUCUCACAAAGAUCGAGACACGAUGCCGAGCCGCUAUUAGGCGAAGCCACCCACCCCAUGCCGUCGAGAAAAGCUUCUAGCGAGCUUCGUGGGUACCCGUACCCCAAACCGACACAGGUGAACAAGUAGAGAAUACUAAGGCGAGCGAGAAAACUCUGGUUAAGGAAUUCGGCAAAAUGGCUCCGUAACUUCGGGAGAAGGAGCGCCCCGGUAGGGUGUAGGACUUCGCGUCCGAAGCCCGAUGGGGUUGCAGAAACCAGGCCCAAGCGACUGUUUAUUAAAAACACAGGAGGGUGCUAAGUCGUAAGACGACGUAUACCCUCUGACGCCUGCCCGGUGCUGGAAGGUCAAGUGGAUCGGUUAGCUCUUCGGAGCGAAGCUGUGAAAUCAAGCCCCAGUAAACGGCGGCGGUAACUAUAACCGUUAAACAGAAAACUGAAUGGCGGUUACAAAACCUGGCUAUAUGCUGGAACAUCCGAGUAUCCAACGGUACGAGUUGUGUGAAACACCUGUGAUAGGUGGGAAACAUGACCGUGAAAAUCCGUUUGGUGCGGACAAUCAGCAGGAAACCAAAGUCUCGAAACACCAGCUCGAAUCGAGCGGAUCGUUCCCUACCUCGGUGGUGAACACGACAUACGUCGGGAUCUCACUCCCGGUGCAUGGCGAAUCCGAUUGCAUCGAGCCAGCACGUCGAUGCCGACCCCUCGGGAGACGCAUCUAUCACAUGUACGUGGAUGUUUCGUGAACGAUGAAACGAAAUCCAACCAAUCACCGGUCGAAAGACCAACGAUUCAAGGAGAUCUGAAUCGGGAUGAGCUCUUCGGAGCAAGUCCUGCAGGGAUCCUCAGAGACUGUACGCCAGGCCCUUCGUGAGAACAAGGGAUGAUACAGUCCGAUCCUCAUGGCGACAUGGGGAGUCAGGCAGAAAUGUCCUGACCAGUUCUGUGCGGGCCGUCCCCGCAUCGACAUAACAGAACGAGUAACAAGAAUGCCUAAGGUAGCGAAAUUCCUUGUCGGGUAAGUUCCGACCUGCACGAAUGGCGUAACGACUCGGGCACUGUCUCAACCAGAGACUCGGCGAAAUUGCAAUGUGAGUAAAGAUGCUCACUUCCCGCAACAGGACGGAAAGACCCCGGGACCUUUACUGCAGCUUGACAUUGAAGCUCUUCCUGCGAUGUGUAGGAUAGGUGGGAGCCUUUGAAGCAUCCGCGCUAGCGGGUGUGGAGGCAACGUUGAAAUACCACCCUUCUCAUGAAGCUCUUCUAACCACGGUCCAUUAUCUGGAUCUGGAACAGUGUCUGGUGGGCAGUUUCACUGGGGUGGUGGCCUCCUAAAAUGUAACGGAGGCGCCCAAAGGUUCCCUCAGCCAGGUCGGCAAUCUGGCGUUGAGUGCAAAAGCACAAGGGAGCUUGACUGCGAGACCUACAAGUCGAGCAGGUACGAAAGUAGGGUUUAGUGAUCCCUCGGCGGCAUGUGGGUGCGCCGAGGCCAACGGCUAAAAGGUACCCCGGGGAUAACAGGCUCAUACCGCCCAAGAGUCCAUAUCGACGGCGGUGUUUGGCACCUCGAUGUCGGCUCGUCUCAUCCUGGGGCUGAAGCAGGUCCCAAGGGUCGGGCUGUUCGCCCGUUAAAGAGGCACGCGAGCUGGGUUUAGAACGUCGUGAGACAGUUCGGUCCCUAUCCGUCGCAGGCGCAGGAGAUUUGAGGAGAGCUGUCCUUAGUACGAGAGGACCGGGAUGGACGCACCUCUAGUGUGCCAGUUGUUUUGCCAAAAGCAUGGCUGGUUUGCCACGUGCGGAACGGAUAAGCGCUGAAAGCAUCUAAGCGCGAAGCCGCCUCCAAGAUCAGAUCUCCCACCGGAUUAACCGGGUAAGGCCCCUGGU